AACUUUCAGCAGAAGAUGAUUCGACAGCAGAUGAGACACAUAAUGAUGAUAUUCAGCACACCCUUGGACAAGAUUCGGUUGAAGUUAAGGAAACUGUUUUUACUUCAGAGGACACUGUACUAGAUAAUGUAACAGCAGAAGAGCCAACCUGUGAUAGUCAAGAAGUAGAUAAUGCAGAAUCAACCGAAGAAACUAAGGGAAACACAGCUGAGAAUAUAGAAGAAGUCUCUGAUGUGGUGAUUGCUGAUGAGGCAGUUAAAGAACAGGAUGUGCUACAGACUGAGGAUAUUGCUGAAACGCAUAUGCAGGAGCUAGAACCAGAAGAAACAAAGAACACAGAACCUGUUGAAUCAGAAGAAGCUUCUGAUCAGAUGAAUGCUGUUCUAUUCGAUGAUUUAGCUCAAGAAGAUACACAGGAGAUUGAUAUGCAGCAGGCAGAGUCAGCAACAGAAACCACUGAAACUGAAGCAGCUCCCCAGGAAAGCAAAGACUGUGUUUCAGAUGAGCCUUCUGCAGAAGAUCAUAAGAUAGAAAGUGAAAAAGAUUGUGACACUCAGGGAGUAAGCAUCACAGAAUCUUUAGAAGUAAUUGAUGGUGACAAAGACAUCAUAACUGGAGGAAUCUCUGGCCAAAGCAACAUGGUAUCUGCUGGGGAGUCGGCUCAAGAAAACUAUGUCCCUGAAAGCAAGUCAACUGCUGAUAUUCAGCCUGUGCAGGAACCGGAACCAGAAGAAAUAAAGAACACUGAACUUACAGAAGUGAAGGAAACAUCCUAUGAAAUGAAUACUACUGUCUUUCAGACGCCAACCAAAGAAGAUAAUCUAGCCACAAUUGAUCUGCAUGAAUCAGCAAGAGAACUGAGCAACAUUGAAGCCACAGAAGCAGGAACACCCCACCAAAGUGAUGCUGCUCAAUCAGAGGAGCAAGCACCAGAAGGAAUAGCAAGUGAGCCACAAGUACUGGAACCAGAAUCAGUCGAAGAAAUGAAUGACACUACAGCCACUGAGACUACAAAUAUCUCCAAUGCUAAGCUAACAUCUUCCUCUGGGGAAUCUGUCCCAGAAGAAAUUGCAACAGAAGAUAACACAAGCACUGAACCAGAUGUUGAUCAUCAACAAGUCCAGGAUCAAGAAUCAAGUGAUUUCAUGGAAACUGAAGCCGAUAAACCUCAAGGAAUUGCGUCAUCUUGCAUUCUUUCUACUUCUGAGCAGUCCACUUCAGAAGACAAUGCAACGGCAAUAGCAGAAGACAAUGCAACAGCAAUGGAACCAAAUUCUGACACUCAAGCAGAGAGUUUACAGCUGGCAGAAGUAACUGAGGGCACUGAAAAUGUGAAAAGCAACACUGCUCUUGGUGAGGCAGCAGCUCCAGAAGAAAAUGUAGAAACAGGUGCAACUGCUGAUAUGCCAUCAGUGCAGGAGCCAGAGCUAGAAGAGACCAAGGGCGCUGAACCAGCUGGAACAGAGGAUAUUAUGACAUCAAUUGACCUGCCAGCAGGAAAUAUGGACAUGGAAACCAUGGGGACUGAAGCAGUCCCUCAUGAGAGUCAUGUUGAAAGUAUAAAGGAACUCACUGAAGAUGGUACUGAGCCAGUUCUGGAGCUAGAAUCGUUUGAGAACACGAAGUGCACUGACACAAUGGAACAUCCAGGAGAGCCCCAUGGUUCUACUUCUGAUGAGACUACUCCAACAGAAGAAAAUACAACAGUAACCGAGCGUGCUUUUGACACACAGCAAGUGCAGAAUCUGACAUCUCAAGAAAUCAAGGACAGUGAAGAUGCCAAAACAGAUGAAUUCUCAGAUCUCAGUAGCUUUCCUACUAAAGAGGCAGAUCAAGAAAGUAAUUUACCAAGGACUGAGCCAGCUACUGAUGUCCAACAAGUGCAAGAAACCAGAGACAUUGAAUCCGAGGGAACUGAAAAUCAUCAACAACACGGAGUUUCUACCUUUGAGGAGCCAGCAGUAGACAGUGAGCCCAAUGUUGAUGAUCAACAGGUGCACGAGGACAAAGUACCAGAAGUAAAAGACAAUCAAGCAAUGGAGGCUGAAGAAGUCAUCCAGCAAAGUAAUAUUGACAUUCCAGAUGAUGCAACUGGAGAAAGGAGUGAACUGACAAGUGAACCAGAUUCUUAUGUCCAACCAGCACAGCAUGUGGACAGUGAGAACAGUCAGCUUGAAAAGGCAGAAGAAACCGCAGGCACUGUCGCCAUUGAAGAAACACCUACAGAAGAUAGUAUUGCGUGUGAAAUUGACCCACCUGUUGAUAUUAAACAAGAGCAUGAACUAGAACCAGUGGAAGAAAUCAAGGCUACUGAUGCCAAUGAAGCUGAAGAAGAAUUUCAUACAAGCCAAGUUGAUGCAAUAGAAAAAUCAGCUUCAGAAGGUAAUAUGGCAUCAAUAGAGCCAACUUCCGAUAUUAAGCAAGAGCCAACUUCCGAUAUUAAGCAAGAGAACGAAUUGGAGGCAACAAAAGAAAUUAACGGCAUCGAAGCCGUCAAUGAUGGAGAGCAAACAGAGAAUGCUACUUCAGAGGACCCAUCUCCAACAGAUAAUGAAACAACACCAGAAGGGCAUUCUGCAGAGUUGAAUGAAGAAAUUACAGGGAAUGAAACUGAUGAUGUCAAAGAUGAAAUACAGACGUUCGUGGAACUAAAGGUAUCUGUAUUCUGUGCAUUAACCUCCCUUAGGUGUAGGAAAUACUUGUUUAGGAUUUCUAAUUACUUGGAAAGAUGAGAUUUGUUUUUUAUGAAGCAUAACAAAAGGUGGUUUCUUAUAUAAAUGUAUGCAUUGAAUUGAAAUAUCAUGAUAAACCUAACAUCAUUGCAGCAGUUUGAACAGUAAGAGGCACAUAAAAAGAUGUAGCCCCCAAAUUCUUAUGUAUGUAAAUACUAUCAGAUCAUAGAUUGACUACAAGUUUUAUCUUACAUGAUGGCACCUACCAAAAAUAGAUCAACUUUUAACCAAUUACUAUCAGACUUUUCAGUAAAGUAAUUGAAUAGCAAAAGUAUACCUAUCAGUAGUGCCAAAAUGCAGACUUAAAAAAUAUAUAAAAAGAACUAAGUAUUGCAGUCUGAGUAUGACAUUACUAGUUUGAAUGUGAGCAUACCUUGCAAGACAACUCACUAGUAUGUAUUUUAUCCAGGAUGGUGCAUGUGAUUUGGGCGAAACUGUUUUGCCAACUCAGGGAAGUGAGAACAUGACUGAUGAAGAUGCUGUUCAAAGUCCUGGUGAUGAUAGACUAGAGACUUCAAAUACCGAUCAUGUCAAAGAAGAGAAAAAGGAUGGAUGUGAACAUAACUCAAGCGAAAUGUCAGGUGUGCAUAAAGAAGAGAACACAAUUCAUGUUCAGGAAAGAGAUAUCAGUGGGCAACUUCUCACAAAAAAGGGCACUGAAGAAGCAACACAAGCUUCAUUUGAAAGUGAUCCUCAGGGAGCACAAGAUGUCACAAAAGAAGAUGAUACCACAGAAGAUGGUGAGCAAACUAGUGAUCUUAACAAGCAACCUGAUGAUGUAGCACUUCAACUGCAAACAUGUGAGGCAGAUGCUUUAUCCAUUGGGAGACAAGAUGAGGUUGUGCAAAAGGUUGACUUGGAUCAACAACAGAAAAAAGAUGAGGAGAUUGAAAAUCAGAAGGAAGAAAUUCAGGCAGAUGAACAGAAACAUGAGGACAAGGGGGAUGAUUUCACCAUGGAACCACUUGUGGAGCCCGAUGAUAUCGAAAAUGGUGCCAAAAAUAGAACAGAAGACACUGAUGUAUGUGAGGUAAAUACCACUCUAGGACUCAUUGCAUGUGUUACCUUUUCAGGAUUUCUUGAGUUAGAAACUCACAAAGAGUAAAUUCAUACUCAAUGCAAUCUUUGCAGGCUGAACAAACAGAGGCACUCAUUACUGAAAUUCUUAAGCAUGAAGAAGCCCCACAUGUAUCUGAAGAAUCCACCCCAAGUAGCACGGAUAUGGAGGUUGACAAUGUUAAGGGAACAGAUGAAGGAACAGAAGAAGAUUCUGGUGCUAAAAAUGAUAAUAAAGAUGAGAAGGAGAGUGCAGAAAAUAAUGACAUAGUAGCAAACGAUUCUACUGAUGAACAUGAUGAAACAAUUUAUGAAAUUAAUAAUGAAGAGGUCAGUUCAGAGUUUCCAUCAAUGAAGUGUGAGAAAUUAGAUCUACAUUCUUUUGUUAAUAUCAUCUGAAAAAUGUUCUUUUGUUAAUCAUAUUGGUGUUGGAUUCCCAAAGAUCAAAUUAACUUUCCAAAUUAGAAAUGUAGAGAAAAAAUAAAGAAAGCAUGGCGAACAAUGAGCCAGAACCUUCCUUAUUGUUGGUCCAUCGCGUCACCAUCUUGAGAAAGCUCCGGGAAACGCCAGCGACUACUCUUAGUACAUCAAAUUAUUAUGUGGGAUCACUAUUAAGUAGAAGUAAAAGUAAUAUAGGAGUAAAUAUAUAAGAAUGGCAUUUACAGAGACCAAAGAACAAUGCAGCAAUUAUUUGUUAAUAGCCUCUAAUUAGUCAUUACCCAUACUAAAAGCACUGCUACAUUUACUCAUUUUGCAGGUUGAACCUGGUUUGGCAUCCUCUGGUCAAGAAGCAUCUGAACCGGCUCCUUCAAAUGAUGCUAUACUAGAGAAUGUAAGAUCUAAUUGACUGAAUAUUCCUCUAAAACAAUUGACUGAACACUGCCAAUGAUGUUUUGAAAGCAAUAUGUGGUAACCAUUCCAAACUCCAAAGGUGCAUUUUUUUUGGAGUCGGUUUUCCUGUCUUUUUUAAAAGAAAUAUAAGCAGACUCCCAUAAGAAAAUUUUAAAGUGAUAGACAUAAUAAUAUUGGUAUACAGGUAAAAACAAAAUAACAAGAAAACAAAGAGUGGGGUUUAGUUUUGCAGCCCAUACAAAAAAAAAUCUUCGCUGCAUCACCACAUGCAACUUCAGUGGCAUUCAUCACUAAAUUUUUUGUAGUUUCCAAUGGUCAGAUGGCUCUUCAAUUAGGUCAUGAUGCAUCUGCAGUUCGAGAAACAUCCAUAACAGUAAUUCUGACACCAUAAUAAUCUCAGGAGCUACUAUAUUUGCUGUGCAGGAUUCUGCAGCUGUUACUCAGAAUGUUGAAUCAGGAGAGCAUAGGGAGGAUAAAGAAUGCACAGACAAGGUUAAUGAUGAUGUCCACACCAUUCAAGCAUCGGAGAAAGAGAUUGCAGGUGAAAUAAAUGAGAAUAAAGAAAUUCAAAAUGAAGACAAUGCUAUCCAUCAUGAUGAAUCACAGACAAAAUCUGAAAAGGAUGAGGCGCCUCAACUGCAUGCCAGUGAACCAUGCAACAUGGAUGCCAAAAUUGAUGAUACAACAACUCCAGGCAAAGAAAUAAUCGAUGGUAAUGCAAGUAUAAAGCCCAGAGAAAUUGAAGAGAUUGGAGAAAACAAGGGACUCGACUCCACUUCCAAACCUUUUGUAGAAUCAUCCAUACAGAACAAUGUUGAGCAGGACUUAAGCAUUCAUCACAAGGUCAGUACUAAUAUCCUUAACAUGUACCAGUCUUAUACGGGUCCAAAUUCGUUUUUCUUGUCAAAUCUUCUCUUAGUAAAAUUCUAUGCCAUUUUUUUCCUGCAAUCAGGUUGAAGACGAAAAUCUUUCAAUGAUGGAGCAAAAUGAUGUAGAUAUUGAAGCUAUGCAAGAAAAAGCUGAUGAAUCUGCCUCAGAUAUAAAUCUAACCAAGCAAUGUCAGGAAGAAAUUAGUGAAGAUGAUGUUCAGCAACUUGAAAUAGAAGAAAGUUCAUUUGACAAAAUUGAUGAAACCGUUUCACAUGAGAAAACAGAGACAAGCACCACUGAAGCGGUAAUAGUCAAUGACACCAUCACCAAUAAGGUCAGUAAGUGAGAGAAAUCAAUGAAUAUUGGAGUUACAUUCUGUAUUGCUAAUCUAAUUUUCCAUUUCCCAUGUAGGCUAGUGGAGACGAUGGUGAACCAUCUGAUGGAAGUCUCAAAACCUUUAAUGACACUGGAAGGGAUCUUGAUGUUUCAUCUGUAAUUACAGCAUCAAAGGAAGAAAGUGUGAAUGAGAAUAUGGAAGACCAUAAGCUUGCUCUUCCUGCGCAUACUGCACAGGACGAAAACACCCCUGCGCAUCAAGAGAAGACGGAAAGAGAGAUGCCUUCAUCAGAGAAGCCCCUUCCUACUGAACCAGAAGAGAAUCAAAUUCCCAAUGAAAUAAAUGAAGGGGAGUUACAGGAUGAAAAUCAAAUUCCCAAUGAAAAGAAUGAACAGGACAUUCAAGAUACAGAAAUUGAAGAUGCUCAGAAUGAUGUUGAACCAGAUUUACCUGUUUCUCAUUUUCUGAUGAAUUUAAUAUUAGGAAAAAAGAACGGUGUUGCAGAUGAAAAUUCAGAACCUGGGGCUGAAGGGAAGCAAGGAGAAACAACAGAAGACGAUAGCUGCGUGCUCAUUUCUAAAGAAGAAGAAAGUGUGGGGCCACUUUGCACAGAAAAUAAGGUGGAUGACAAUCUCACCUUUGAACAAGAAAAACAUGAUGCCAAAUGCUCCGAAGAAACACAGGAAAUGGUCAAAGAACAAAGUGAUGAUCUUAAGCUGGACACAGAAAGAUCACUACAUACUGAUGAAGAGUCCAAUAAGAACACUCAAGGCAAUCCCCAAGACAAAAUUUCUGAUGAACUGUUAUCAGAAGAAGCAGCUAGUGUUUCUACAAAUAUGAAAGCGAGAGAUAUUGAGAUUUCGAACUUUGAGCUGGAUGAUAAAGCAGUUGAUACUGUCUGUCAGGAAGACACGGAGGAGUCAACAAAAGUUGAAAAUGAGAGCUUGAAGAGCAACAUAAAUGAUUUAACAAAUACAGAGGCUUCGGAAGAGGAUACUCUAGGGGAACAACAAACAGGACUCUUGCAUGAAUCUUUACCUGAAGAUAAUAGUGCUGAUGCAGUGUCCGCGCCCUUGCUGAUAGAAUCAGGUGUGGUUGAUGCAAAAGAUUCAUCUUAUGAUGCUGAGGCUGCCCAGAACCUUACCUGUGCAAAAGAAGAUGAUCCCACUGAAUCUUCCAUCAUUGAGGCAACAAGUAGUCCUCAUAUUCAACUGGAGUGUGAAGAAGUAGAGAAGAAAGAAGAGGAGCAGCAUGCAAGCAAGGGCACAGAAAACGUUCCCAAAGAAGCUGUAGAAAGUUCAAAUGACAAUCCUCAGAAAAGCACAAGCUCUGAAGUAACACCUCAUGAGCAAGAACCUCAUAUAACGGAACCAGUUAGUGACACUGAGAAGAUUUUGGCUCCUGAAAAGGAAAUUUGUGAAGGCUCAACAUGCAUGGAUGAGAAAGAAAACUCUAACUUCUCAAUUAAAGGAGUAGAAAACUUUCAAACAGAAGUUGAAAUUCAGGCUGACAGUCCAAACAUGCAGAUCAACCAAGAUAAGAAAGAUGAAGUUGCUGACAACAAAACUGCAAUGGGACCAGAAAAGCUAGGGGAAUAUGAUUUUCAGGAGCAGCAGGAAACUGAUAGGAAACAUGAAGUUGCUGACAACAAAACUGCAAUGGGCCCAGAAAAACUAGGGGAAUCUGAUUUUCAGGAGCAGCAGGAAACUGAUACUGAGCAAAAGUCUCCUAAAGUGAGUGAUGAAGGAGACCAGCAAUUUUUGGUCAAAAAAGAGACCAUGAUCAAAGAACAGGUUGUGCCUGGAACAGUUGAAAGCCAUGAGCAAACAGUGAGUAUAAAAUCUAACGAAAAGCAAGAACUGUUUGAUUCAAAGGUCCAGGAACGUGAUCUCAAUGUAGUUUCACCCAGAGAAGCUUCUGAGGCUGAAGAAAACUUUGUGGGCGUAACCAAGCCAGAAUUCAGCACAGAUGAAGAGCAAAGUCCAAAGGCUGAUGCAGAUGAGAAAACUUAUGAUGAGAAGAUAAAGGACGUAGAGGGAACUAAGGAUUUCACUGAUGGAGCAGCAACGAAAACUGAAGCACCAGGAGCAACAAAGAAGGCACCUAAAAAACUCAACCUAUUGUCUGGCGUUGGAUCAAAGGUAAAGCACCAACUAGCAAAGGUGAAGAAAGCCAUCGUAGGUAAGCCUGGGAACACAAAACCAGACUCACCAAAGUCAUAGUGAUGCAUUCACCUUAGAGCAUGUAUAUUAUUGUAAUGUUUGUACUUUGUGAGCUAUUCAUUUGAGUGGUAGAAUGUUAGCGACGGGACAGGAGAAGCUCCUCUUCACAACCAUCGCGUUGAAAUAUUCCUGUGAUGCUGAAGACGUUUGUAAAUAUGUCAUAGCGUGUAAAUCUAAGUUUCCAUGGUAUUGUUUCAUGGAACUUUAAGGUAGAGUCAAGGGCAUGGACCUGGUGGAUUGCUUGUAUUCUUUAUUGAUAUAUGCACAUGCAUUUUUGUGGUCAUGAUGCGGUACAUUCUUCAUUUUCCUAGAAAAACAUGUUCUGUCACUCUGUGUCUUGCUCCUGUUCUGACCCUCAAUCAGAUCAUGCUGGUGGAAACUAGAACCAAGCAGGCAAGAAAUGACAAUUCAGUUUUACAUUUAGCAGUAACUAUAAACAGGUCCUGGUGUUCAACAGAGUCCCAAAUGUUGGUGGGCAAAAUUCAGUCCAAGGAGCGUGGAGAUGAGAUAUACAGUAGAUACCUUGGUGUGAAGACCGAACGCGAGGCAACUUUCUAUGUCGCGGAUCGCCGCAGCUUGACAUCUCGCGCUGAAUCCGCACCGCGUUGCGGACCAGACCGCACGUCGCGGACUCUGCAGCAUCCAGGGCCGCCUCGCCGUGCGCGCGCGGGGCGGAGAUGGGCGAGCGUCGAGCAGGCGGUGGGCACGCCGCGCGCGGAGGCGGCGGCGAUUUCGAGUUCUCGA
rnacentral:lncRNA from 1 species